rnacentral:tRNA from 1 species
GCGCUCGUAGUCCAACGGCAGAGACAGCGGCUUUAGGUGCCGUCCAGUGUGAGUUCGAAUCUCACCGAGCGCA